UCGCUCUUGUAUAACUUAUAUAAAAAAAGAUAUAUUCUUUGUCGUUCAAGGUUAACCCGAAAUAAAAGCAACGCCUCAAACGCAGAAAGGCACACGAUUCAUUCAUGUUUUGGAAGUGGUUCGCAAACUUUCUUCUAUCGAAUCACCAUGCACUAUGAGAGUUAACGUUACUGAUAUGCGAACUAUUAAAAACAAAAUGGACCUCGUCGAUAUUCUUGCAUGCUGCCGAAUGUGCAGGCAGACGGCAUUACUGUUUAUAAAACGUCUUAUGUGUUGUUUUAUUUUUGCAUGUCGGCGAGGUCACAAAAGUGUCGAUUGUUGAAAUGAAGUUUGGCGUGCUUUAAUCUCCGUACAUGAGAGAGGGGAAUAGUUGAGUACACACCCGGAAGUGAAGUGGCUACUCGCUCACCGGCAGCAGCAACAUAUAUCAGUCUUUUCCCCUGAAACAUGGGGGCUGUAGAUGUUAUAUGAUAAUGUGAGAUGUCGGUGGGAACCGUGUGUGGUCUUCGCGAAUUUAAGGAGUUAAGCUAACUAAUGCUUCUUUGACAGAGCCUGUCUGACCUGCAGCACAGCUGAGCCUCCCUGUCUGCUCUGCCAUGCCUCUGGUGGUGGACGCUGUGUGGGCGCUGUGGAGCAUCACAGCCGGCAUCUACGACUACUUCCACACCAACGCCAUGGAGGAGAGGAUCCACACGCUGGAGAACGUCCUCUCUAUCCACCAGUUUGUGAUCGCGGCCCUGUCGGCAGGCCUCAUCCUGCUCAUGACAUAUAUACUAUGGAGAAAACACUGAACCUGAACACUGACCAAGGCCAAAUGCCCACUGCUCAGGGUAGUUUCCAUCCUGAUAUUGGCCAAUGUGACAGUUUGGCUCAAAUGACUGCUCACAGUUGAAGAUCGAGCAUGUUUGAUAAUGGUUAGGAGGUCCCAAUUGAGGUCAGCAGCACUGAUGGGAAACUAAACAAAGGCAACAAAAUUUAAUAAGGACUCCAUCGAUGUGCGUGUAGUGAGCGCUUUGUCUGUCUAUCUGUAUGUUUUUUGGAUGUUAAACUGUCCUGAGAAGAUGUCUGCAGAUCAUUGUCCACAUUAAUAACAAAUCAUAAUAGCUUCUCGAGGCAACUUUGCACUUUGACAUUAUUUCGCCAAGCUUGAAAGACUUCACUGUCUAGAAAAGUCAUCUGAGAUGAUGCCAUUAGAUUAAACACCUUCCCCGUGUGUGAUGGUGGGUGACGAUUUAUGUGGUGGAGAGGUUUAGUCAUUGUUGGUUAUGACAGCUUUCUCUGGACGGCGGAGAUGCUGUUGGAUUUAAAACUUGAAUUGUUGUGGACGCAAGGAGUGACAUUGGUUGCUACUAAGUUCUUUAACCCUAUUCUUACAAGAUUACAACAAAGUUACCUUGAGAUCAACUGCCUUGUGUUUACAAAUGAAUCAUGCCAUUUAUUAGGAAAUGAUGGAUGUUUUUGUAGCAUAGCAUAGCUUUCUAAGACCGUAUCCCUGAGAUACUAGUGAAUUUAUCUCAUUAUCCUGAUAUCCUGGCAUUUAUCUCAUGAAGGGUACUUUUCUAUCUUGAGUUAACAAAAGGUGGUCUUAACUAAUACUCUGCAGGCCUCCUUCCUCUCCCCUCUGACAUUUGUGCUCAGUGACGCCUCUGUCUCUCUCAAAGCUGAGAGAAAAGUGUCCAAGCUGGAUCCCACUUUGGAUAAACCAUAAAAUGUGAUAUUGAGACAUUUAAGUCACAAAAACAUUGUAGUUAAUUCUUUAUUACAGUACAAUUUAUUUUCUCAAGAUAAUUAAGUUGUAAUGUUGAGAUAGCAGGAUUUAGUUGGUAAAUAUGGUGAAGAUGUGUUGUCUCCAACAGGUGGGGGGAUAGGGGUGCCAGCAUGUGACUCCCAGAAGACGGUGUGUUCCACUUUCUAAAAUUGAUGUCAUGCUAUGUUGUCAUACAUAGCAGUGCUUUGAUGGGAAUGUGUAGCCGUGGUCAAACUGGGGAUAAUCGGUUGAAAUUGGACUCCUGAGUCUUGCACAAACCUCCCUCAGAGCCGUGAGAGGGACAGUCAGUGGUUCUAACUUGCAGAGUUAGUUUAAGGGCUGGAAAUGAUCUUGUUACACUGUUACGGUAAAGUCAGAGCAGGGGUUUAAAAAACUUACAGAUGCCUUCGGCUGCUGUGGUCUGUGUCAGUCCUGGUUUCAGGUGACAGACCAGGAUAAGAAUUAAGUAAACACUGGGAAUUAAUUCAACCUAUAUAUGACCUAUUUUUUCAUGUGGAAGAGAAGGGGUCGGAGAUGUGGGAUUUUAGAGGUCCAUCUAUUUAUUUAUUGUUGUCUAAGUGUUUUGGAAAGGCUUGUUGUGACUGUUGACACUGUUUUGAGAUUGUCAUUACCCAUUUUCUCAUGCUUUUUCUUACUAACCGUUAAAAAUAUGGUCUAAUGAUUCAAUCAAAUAUUGUUCACUUGCUGUUGUACCUGACUUUCUGGGGUUAUUUUUCAGUGUACUGUACGCACUACUAUAUGUUACUCUGACAAACCACUACAAUGGCCACUAUUAAAGGGAAUAUGUUUGAAUAAUAAAUAAUAAAUCAUA